GACGAACGCUGGCGGCGUGCUUAACACAUGCAAGUCGAACGGAAAGGCCCUGCUUUUGUGGGGUGCUCGAGUGGCGAACGGGUGAGUAAAACGUGAGUAACCUGCCCUUGACUUUGGGAUAACUUCAGGGAAAUCGGGCGAAUACCGGAUAGGAGCUACUGCUCCAUGGGGGGGGUUGGAAAGUUUCGGCGGUUGGGGAUCGACUCGCGGCUUAUCAGCUGGUUGGGGGGGUAGUCGCUUACCAAGGUUUCGACGGCUAGCCGGCCUGGGAGGGUGACCGGCCACAUUGGGACUGAGAUACGGCGCAGACUCCUACGGGAGGCAGCAGUGGAGAAUAUUGCACAAUGGGCGGAAGCCUGAUGCAGCAACGCCGGGUGCGGGAUGACGGCCUUCGGGGUGUAAACCGAUUUCGCCUGAGACGAAGCGUGAGUGACGGUAAUGGGUAAAGAAGCACCGGCUAACUACGUG
rnacentral:rRNA from 1 species